UACAGAGGUCUCAAGCGUUGUUCGGAUUCAUUGGGCGUAAAGGGCGCGUAGGCGGCGGGGUAAGUCGGGUGUGAAAUCUCAGGGCUCAACCCUGAAACUGCACUCGAUACUGCUCUGCUUGAGGACUGGAGAGGAGACUGGAAUUCACGGUGUAGCAGUGAAAUGCGUAGAUAUCAGGAGGAACACCGGUGGCGAAGGCGGGUCUCUGGGCAGUGAACUGACGCUGGAGGAGCGAAAGCCGUGGGGAGCAAACAGG
rnacentral:rRNA from 1 species